rnacentral:rRNA from 1 species
AGAGUUUGAUCCUGGCUCAGAUUGAACGCUGGCGGCAGGCCUAACACAUGCAAGUCGAACGGUAACAGGAAGCAGCUUGCUGCUUCGCUGACGAGUGGCGGACGGGUGAGUAAUGUCUGGGAAACUGCCUGAUGGAGGGGGAUAACUACUGGAAACGGUAGCUAAUACCGCAUAACGUCGCAAGACCAAAGAGGGGGACCUUCGGGCCUCUUGCCAUCGGAUGUGCCCAGAUGGGAUUAGCUUGUUGGUGGGGUAACGGCUCACCAAGGCGACGAUCCCUAGCUGGUCUGAGAGGAUGACCAGCCACACUGGAACUGAGACACGGUCCAGACUCCUACGGGAGGCAGCAGUGGGGAAUAUUGCACAAUGGGCGCAAGCCUGAUGCAGCCAUGCCGCGUGUAUGAAGAAGGCCUUCGGGUUGUAAAGUACUUUCAGCGGGGAGGAAGGGAGUAAAGUUAAUACCUUUGCUCAUUGACGUUACCCGCAGAAGAAGCACCGGCUAACUCCGUGCCAGCAGCCGCGGUAAUACGGAGGGUGCAAGCGUUAAUCGGAAUUACUGGGCGUAAAGCGCACGCAGGCGGUUUGUUAAGUCAGAUGUGAAAUCCCCGGGCUCAACCUGGGAACUGCAUCUGAUACUGGCAAGCUUGAGUCUCGUAGAGGGGGGUAGAAUUCCAGGUGUAGCGGUGAAAUGCGUAGAGAUCUGGAGGAAUACCGGUGGCGAAGGCGGCCCCCUGGACGAAGACUGACGCUCAGGUGCGAAAGCGUGGGGAGCAAACAGGAUUAGAUACCCUGGUAGUCCACGCCGUAAACGAUGUCGACUUGGAGGUUGUGCCCUUGAGGCGUGGCUUCCGGAGCUAACGCGUUAAGUCGACCGCCUGGGGAGUACGGCCGCAAGGUUAAAACUCAAAUGAAUUGACGGGGGCCCGCACAAGCGGUGGAGCAUGUGGUUUAAUUCGAUGCAACGCGAAGAACCUUACCUGGUCUUGGCAUCCACAGAACUUUCCAGAGAUGGAUUGGUGCCUUCGGGAACUGUGAGACAGGUGCUGCAUGGCUGUCGUCAGCUCGUGUUGUGAAAUGUUGGGUUAAGUCCCGCAACGAGCGCAACCCUUAUCCUUUGUUGCCAGCGGUCCGGCCGGGAACUCAAAGGAGACUGCCAGUGAUAAACUGGAGGAAGGUGGGGAUCGACGUCAAGUCAUCAUGGCCCUUACGACCAGGGCUACACACGUGCUACAAUGGCGCAUACAAAGAGAAGCGACCUCGCGAGAGCAAGCGGCCCUCAUAAAGUGCGUCGUAGUCCGGAUUGGAGUCUGCAACUGGACUCCAUGAAGUAUGGAAUCGUUAGUAAUCGUGGAUCAGAAUGCCACGGUGAACACGUUCCUCGGUCCUAGCACUCACCGCCCGUCA